rnacentral:rRNA from 1 species
CCUACGGGAGGCAGCAGUGAGGAAUAUUGGUCAAUGGACGCAAGUCUGAACCAGCCAUGCCGCGUGCAGGAUGACGGCUCUAUGAGUUGUAAACUGCUUUUGUACGAGGGUAAACCCCGAUACGUGUAUCGGGUUGAAAGUAUCGUACGAAUAAGGAUCGGCUAACUCCGUGCCAGCAGCCGCGGUAAUACGGAGGAUCCGAGCGUUAACCGGAUUUAUUGGGUUGAAAGGGUGCGUAGGCGGUUUGAUAAGGUAGAGGUGAAAUGUCCGGGCUCAACCCCGAAACUGCUUCUAAUACUAGUGGACUAGAGAAUAGUAGCGGUAAGCGGAAUGUAAGGUGUAGCGGUGAAAUGCGUAGAGAUCAUACAGAACACCGAAUGCGAAGGCAGCUUACCAAGCUAUAUCUGACGUUGAGGCACGAAAGCGUGGGUAGCAAACAGGAUUAGAUACCCGAGUAGUC